rnacentral:sRNA from 1 species
CUCCUCCCCAUGGUGAGGUGAGAGGCGCAGGUUUGUGGCUGCCCAAGUCCCUCAGAGAUGGUGAGUAGCAGAAGCUGGGAUUGGAACCCAUGUUCCUGCAUCUGGGCUGGGGCAGACAGGGAGGGAUGAGGCAAGCAAAUGGAUCCAUGGGGUAGAGAUGGACAAGCAACUCACACCUGGGCCUUGGUCAGUUUCCCCCACAGACUGCUGCUUCCCCGGAUGAGCAGAAGGUGUUUGCCCUCUGGGAGUCUGGAGACAUGAGUGAUCAGCAUCGACAGGUUUUGCUUGAAAUUUUUUCCAAAAAUUACCGGGUACGCCGAAACAUGAUCCAGUCUCGGUUGACUCAAGAGUGUGGAGAAGAUCUCAGUAAACAGGAGGUGGAUAAAGUACUAAAGGACUGCUGUGUAAGCUAUGGUGGCAUGUGGUACCUUAAAGGGACAGUACAGUC